rnacentral:rRNA from 1 species
CAGUCGCCGCGGGAAAACGAAGGGGGCUAGCGUUACUCGGAAUUACUGGGCGUAAAGGGCGCGUAGGCGGCACGAUUAGUCAGGCGUGAAAUUCCUGGGCUCAACCUGGGGACUGCGCUUGAUACGGUCGAGCUAGAGGAUGGAAGAGGGUCGUGGAAUUCCCAGUGUAGAGGUGAAAUUCGUAGAUAUUGGGAAGAACACCGGUGGCGAAGGCGGCGACCUGGUCCAUUACUGACGCUGAGGCGCGGCAGCGUGGGGAGCAAACAGGAUUAGAUACCCCCGUAGUCCCUGUCUCUUAUAC